rnacentral:lncRNA from 1 species
CGCCCCUAGCUCCACUUGUCCCUAGCUUGAUCGGCAGCCAUAGGCCAUGCGCGCUUCACGCCGGUGUCGACCCACGCCAAAAAUCAAGGUCCAGAUUUCAGUCAUUAUGGAGAUCUCUCGAGUCCUGCUGUCAAAUCCCUCGAGAAAUGACCCACAUAUGACAUUUUGUUCAAGCUAAUGUUGAAACUAAGUAAAUGGCAGAUACAAGGAUGAAGCAUCAAGUUGGCGAUUGCAAGUACGCAGCAUAUUAACUGCAUACACAAUAAACUGUCAGUGCGUG